rnacentral:ncRNA from 2 species
AAUGUGAUAUCGGGAGAGACUGCCGGCUUGAUCCGCCGCAGCGCCGAAGGAGCAACCGCCCCGGAAACUCUCAGGCAAACGGACCGCUAUCACCGG